rnacentral:tRNA from 1 species
GGGGAUUUAGCUCAGUGGUAGAGUGCUUGCCUAGCAAGCACAAGGCCCUGAGUUCGGUCCUCAGCUCUA